AAAAUAGAACAAUAUCAUACUGACGGGAUCUUUUAAAGUACAGAGUCACGUUAUAAGAACCAAAGAAAUACAAAAAGUCGCAUAUACAAAACACACCACCAAAAAAUGAAAGACAAUACAUACACAUUGACGAGAUGUAUAAGUACCGAGCCACGUCAAACGAAUAUCACAUAAAACCAUUCAACAGUAAAAGUAAUAAUAAUAAUAAA
rnacentral:lncRNA from 1 species